CAUUCUUAAUGAUUGUACUUAUUUUUUUCUUUUCUCAAAUUUACUUUGUAAAAUCUAAACAUAAAAUAUUAGAGAAUAGAAAUCAAAAAGAAGUCUGUCAAAAAUUUUCUAACAAUAGCCUAUACAUUUUAAUUAAGUAACAAAAAUAUAUUAUUAAUUCAGAUAUUAUUGAAGGAAAAUUUAAAUAUAUUUAAGAAAUAAUUUGUAUUUUAUUGUAUAUUUUUUUUACAUGAUGAAGUGCAAAAUUAUCAGUGCAUUUUUUUUUCUGCAACAAUUGCCUGACGACGUGUGUAACACGUCACUGGCGUUCUUGUAACAAAAGCAUCUCGACGUGCGUGGCACGUCUUUCCACCGCAAGUGGUUAAAAGAUACGCUGUACCAAUUUUGGUUCGAACUUGUCACUCUAAGAUACUCCGUGAGAAAUCAAAAAUUUCUUUGACGAUCAAAUCUGAGAGAUCAAAAAUCGAUGAUCGUUAGAGGGAUACAUUAUCAAUACAAAAAGUUUACCCGGGAUGGAGGGGGCAGGGGGAAAACGUUAUAUUAUAAAACAUGAACCAACUUAUGACAUUCAAACGAUAUUGCUACUUAAUGAAAUCACUGAUUAAUAUCAUUUACAUAGACAUAAUCACGUACAUGCUCAUAGACGAUAUGCAUCGAAAGAUCGGGUCGAAUAUACAAUGUGCUAUUUAAAUAGAAUCAUCGAAAUAUAUUCGAAUUCUCGAACUGAAAGAGAACGCUAAAAUUUCGCUACAAUAGAUCAAUAAUAAGAAUUUAUUGUUAAUCCUAGUAUUCACCCAUUUAAUCUUCGUAAAAAAGUUUUAUUCUUUUUAUAUUUUUUAUUUUGUAUCGAUAGAAUACGAUAUCUAAGGAAUCUAAGGAAUCUAAGAAUAGAGGUUUACUUAUAUUUGUUUUGUUUUUAUAUUAUGUCUAUUUUCAAUUUUUGUUUAUGUAUUUAAAAGUUUCUAUAUCAUUAAUAGAAAUCCAAACAACUUCAUAAAUAAUUAUAGUAUACAUAAUUCAUAAUAAUUUUGUUAUAAAUAAAGAAAAUGUAUAAUCAAA